UUUUAGUAAUGGCACAGACUGAGGCUGCAGCAGCAGACAGAGAACGAUGAGAGAGGUAGAAAUUAAAAGAGAGCAGCAGUGCAUUGUCAGGGAGAGUACGGCAGGAUUCCAACGCAGACUGUCACAAAAACAUAUUUGGAGAGCCAGCUGUGAGGGUUAAAGAGAGGAAAAAUGGACCAAACUUGCUACAGGGACUGCGGCGAGUGAAAAAGGCAUUUCACCAGUGGGAAGAGGAUAAACUAAGCCUUCUGUAAUCAAAUGAGCUGUCCUUCUGUCUGUGUCAGCAGGAUGAAAAGGCAUCAUUUCAGCGCCUAGGACCUAAAGAAAUGCUGAACAAAUCCUGAUGGUUGUUAGAGAAGCGAGGCACUAAAAAAAAAGAACAUUUGCAAGCUUCUGGAAGGAAAAGGGAGGAGAGAGCGGUAUGACUCAGAGCACAGCAGCUCAAAUGCCGCGUAUUCUGCAUGCAAGAGGAGAGGUGGAGGGAGAUAGAGGAACAAUGAGGAAGAUAUAAAGCGGGGGGGAAAAAAUCAGAGAGGACUUGACCAGAAUUGAGCUGUCAUUAGACAGAAGAAGGACAGGAUGAGGACAGAAGUAACCACGCAGGCAGGCAGUGAGUGAUAUAUAGACCACGUGAAUCAGGUUGCUAGAGGGAGAGGAAGGCAAGAAGAGGGUGAAUAUAGAAAGUGAAAGGUUUAAUUUGACUGAAGCCAGUUGAGGGAAGGUUGAGUGGAGGUUUGCUGCAGGGUUAGUGGAUGGAGAACUGCAAAGAAGGACAGUAGGAGGGGAUUAAAGAAAGAUUGUUUGAGCUCCUUGCGGGCAAGAAAGUCCUGCGUGGCUGUCUUUUACCUCCAGGAGAGAACCUGGCAGAGGUUUGCAUAUGGAGCAAGUUUCAAGAGGGUUAAAUAGAGGAAGGCAAUGAUGGAGGGUACAAAGGUAGAGCAAUAUUGGAAAUACAAUAAAGAACAGAAGGACAGAAAGACGGAGCUGAAGAGAAAACACUGCAGACCAGAGAACAUGAGAUCCAGCGCACAGUGAUGGGGACAUGGAAACUUUAACUGUGACAGCAGCACAGCAAGAGGUUGCUGUUAAAUAUUGAUGCCGACAGGCCACUCUGGCAAGAACAUGCUACUUGCUCCACAGAGGGGAAAACAGAAGAGAUGCAACUGAUUUUUUUCUCUCUGAGGAGUUUUUACACCAGAAUAGUCAAGCUGAGCGAUAUGAAGCAGAGAUGUUGGCACAAAAUAACAUAAGACAUGCAAAAUAGCCAAGAGUUGGCUUCCUGGAGGUUUUUUGGGCAGCUGUCCAACUUCUUUGGAUUGACUGCAAUGACUUUCUAGAGAAAGGAGGACCUUUAGGAAGAGGACCAAUAUUUGAGCGAUCUCAUGAGGACCAGAACAUUUUCUUCUUUUCUACAAGAAGAACACUGAUUUACAUUUUGGAUUGAAAUGCUUCACCUGCUUCUACAGCGCCAGUCCUGCCAGAUGAGUUAAGCCAACACUGCUACGCUGUUUCCUGCAAGGAUUAGAUCUGAGUAUUUGACCAAUAGAAGACUGCUUGAGGAAAUAUGUGAGGAAAUUCUUGGACUGAAUAAAGUCCCACUGCCUCUUGAUCUCUAAACAUUCAGUAACUGCCAUUUCUCCAACCUGAAUUUCUGAUUCCUCAAAACAUCAAAAAACAGCAACACAAUGCCACAAUCUCCAUCCAGCUGCAAAUAGUCCAGCUGUGUGUUUAUGUGAGGCUGCGCAGGGGGUAUGUAAAGACUGUGGAUGUGCUCAGCUGUGUUUGUGGGUAUGCUUGUGUGGGUGUGGGUGUAGUGGUGUGUGUGUGUGUGUGUUUGCGCUGAGCUUCAAACCCAGCUGUGUCGAAGUGUAUUCUCAAAGAGUUACCCAGAACUGCUUGUGUGUGUGUCGCCUGGAUUCUCCGCACCAGCGACAGCGCUGGACCUGAACAGCAGUGGAAAGAGGGGGGACAGGGAGGGGGAGGAGGAGGAGAAGAAGAAGGAGGCGAGAGAAACCAGCAGGACGGUGGAGAAGAAAAAACUGACAGCAUGCUCGGAUAAAGAGAAGAAAGAAAGGAGUCUUCGACUGCCCUCCUGGUGCAAU